GGAUCGCCAGCGGCCGGUCCGCCGUCAAGGUGUGUACUGGCCGCUGCAUCCUCCUUAUGGGACACUCACCGCUGCCCUUAACUGAGUGGCGGUAAAAGCCCGCGUGUACGGGUGGCGACACCGGUGCACGCGGGUGGAGUUCCCAUUCAUUUACUUUGAAUAAAAGCACGUGUUCAAAGAAGACAUAAAGGGGUCUUGAAGACGCUAGCAUGGGAUAAUAGAACAGGACUUGUGUUCCUUUGUUUUGUUGGUUUCUGGGACAUGAGUA
rnacentral:rRNA from 1 species